UGCCUGCCCAGUGACAUAAGUUAAACGGCCGCGGUAUCCUGACCGUGCAAAGGUAGCAUAAUCAUUUGUUCCUUAAAUAGGGACUUGUAUGAAUGGCCACACGAGGGUUUAACUGUCUCUUACUCCCAAUCCGUGAAAUUGACCUUCCAGUGAAGAGGCUGGAAUACAUUAAUAAGACGAGAAGACCCUAUGGAGCUUUAAUUAACUAACUCACAUAUGACUAAACAAACCUAAACCAGGGAUAAAAAACAUAUUCUGAGCUAGCAAUUUCGGUUGGGGUGACCUCGGAGAAUAAAAAAUCCUCCGAAAGAACAAGCCUAGACACUACAAGUCAAAGCAACUAACUAUACAAUUGAUCCAACAAGUUGAUCAAUGGAACCAGUUACCCUAGGGAUAACAGCGCAAUCCUAUUCUAGAGUCCAUAUCGACAAUAGGGUUUACGACCUCGAUGUUGGAUCAGGACAUCCCAAUGGUGCAACCGCUAUUAAUGGUUCGUUUGUUCAACGAUUAAAGUCCUACGUGA
rnacentral:rRNA from 1 species